UUUCAGGAUGGUAUUUCAUCGUUCUCUUGUGGUGUAACUCUUCUUAGUUAGUACGGUAUUCUUCCCGUCGAAUGUUCGACCACAUUUCCAUGGUCGUUUUGCAAUCCGUUACAAAGGCUGGCUUGUUAGGUAUCGUGGUAUAUACGACAUGCACGAUUUUACACUCUGGCGCUUGUGGUCGGUCAGGCCGCAAACAUUUUUCGCGCCUCACAGAGACGAGCAACUCUUCGCGACGCGAUUGAUCUUCCAAGGAACAUGCCAGAUCGUCGGAAACUUUCUACAAACAGGUGCAGGUGACGAAAGAAACUACGGGGGUUCACUGAAGUAAUUCAUGGAUUCUUGAAGAGAAACAAUUUAUCUUCAUCAAAUAAUGAACGAUAACCAGGUUUAUUUGUGAUUCCACGGUUACUUAUGGGAGCUGAGAUGAACGAUUCUCCUCCGUGUUUAGCCGAAAUCAAGGCAAAAGUAGAAAACAAGCGCGUAAUAAUGGAAUGGCUGGCGACUGCAUUACUAUUUCCGACCACGGGGUUCGAAUGAAAGCCCGGUUGAUGAAUAAUACAUGAUAUGCGAUAAAUGUGUUGCCGUUGCUGUGGACCGAGUUUGUUAGUGAACUGUCUUCGAUCUCCGUGUCUCGGGAAAGGAACUAUAUUUAAUUUAGCACUCCAACGAUAAUACGUUAAAUAUAUGCAACAAACUGCCAACUGCUCUAUUCUAUUCUAUUUAUAUAUUACUAAACAAAUUUAAAAAAGGCUAUUGUAUUCAAGGUGUUCCGGUAAUUCAAGGUAAUUCAUCUGAAAAUUUAACAAGCCAUUUAUUUUCUUUAACAGAUCGGUGAUAUCUUAGACGAUGCACUGUGUCUCAAAAAUUCUACGGCGAUAUCUUCAUUUUUAUAAAUCAAAGUACUCAGUUCCUGAAGGAGAAUGGGGUUGUUCUGGAUACAUCAGGCAACAGGUUUAACAGAACGGUUAAUGAAUAGUUGAUAAUAGUGUCCAUUGUAGGCUGCGUGUCCGAGGAUUGGCCCAUCUAACAAAUGGCCCAUUGUUAUCUCUUACGGCUCCUCGGUCUUCCUCUUGCUCUUUCUCUUCUUCGCCUUUUUCCUUCUUCAUCUUCCUUUUGCCGUGCACGAAACGGGCGUGCAUACAGGGUAAUUCAGAAAAGAGAAACGAUCUUCUCGCGCGCAGAGCUAUUAUUACUGUGUUUGGUCGGUUGAAAGAUACACACGGUUCGAUAACAGCCCAUCAGUUGAAUUCUUGGUAUUUUUGAUCGGUAAGUAAAAAUAAAAAAAAAGCAAGCACCCCUCUUUAUUCUUUUCUUCUUGCUUUUUAUUCUAGUAACAAAAGAAUCAUAUAGUGUACAUAGAACUUUCUGCAGAAUGAAAUCAGGACAGUCUUACAUCGUUUUUAUGCAUCAUAAGUGACAAGUAGGAGGAAAGGUGGAGACAGAAAUAAUCAAUUUCACGGAUAUUGGAAUAUCCAUCGAGCAAUUAAUAUUUGUAAGCUGGAAUACGUGCUGAGACUCUAAUAGCUAGGCGAAAUUAGAGGAUAUUCAAUAAACCAUUGCACGAGAGAAUUGAGCACUGUAUAUUAUCGGCGGAUUACGAAGGAAAGGCCGUUUCGUCCGAUACACAACGUACAAUUGAUCCGAACGUAUAUUAUACAUGGCUCACGAACGGGGAAGCGAGUCUCGAGGGCCGUCCCCAUGAGGAGCAACCGGUGCCGGUUUAUUCCCGAUCGAAUGUUUUUGCCCGACCGUCGCAAACCUAAUUGGAUUCGCUACGAACCACCUGACAGUCGUACACGGCAGAGCAUUACGCAAAACCGUGUACCGUCCCCAGCUUUUUAAAUGUCGAUCCGCCGACGGUCGGUCCGUUUCGAGCCGCAUUAACGUAGGGGCUCGUCCGAUCAUGCUUGCAAAAUCGAAUCAGCUGUUGGUUACGCUUGUUAAUUGUAACGAAUAGAUUGUAUUAAAAGUUGAUCUUUCACACGAUUUUAUAGGAACAAUGAACCUACUUCGUGGAAGUAAAAAUCCAGGGAAAGCAAUGCAUGCGCUGGAUGAUUUUCUGUACUCCUUUUUUCUGUGAAUGGAAUUCUUGUUUUAUUAUAGUAACACACGUUAUAAUAUUUUAUGCUACGUUGAUCGAGAUAAUGUCUGAUCUUGCGUUAUAUAUUUUCAUCUUAUGUAGGUACGGUAUACAUGACAUCUACUUAUCAUUGUAAUUUUUACCUUGCAACGUACCCGUGUAUCCGAUCAGCGUGUGCAACUCGUAUAUACGAUCCUUCUUUCUCAUAUGCACCGACCUUACCUCCUCUUUUCCCACAGGAUACAAACGCACACGACCUCGGAUCCUACAUGGACACACGGCUCCUCCGGCAGGCAGCCAGGCGCUAACGUCGAUGCAUGUAGCUGAUGGCAGCGGCCAGAUCGUGCUAUGUUUCUGCGUCAUCGGACCGCGUUCUCCUUUCAUCCUUUUUCAUCAUUCUCUUUUCACCAGGUAGACAACAAUGAUAGAAUGAUAUCUUUACGGAGUGGGGAAUACGGAAAAAUGGGAUUAGCGGCCAGAGAAAGAAUCCGAAAAAGUCGGAAAACUCUGAAAGAAAAAGAGAGAACAGGGUAGAAAGUUGGGUAAAACAAAGAAGAUGGAACAGGGACGAAAGUACGUGGGAAAGAGACAGAAAAAGGAAAUAUUGGCGAAGGAGAGGACAAAGGAGAAAGAGGGGACAAGAAAAAAGAAAGAGAGAGGAAUUCUCGAGAGAUCAAGUUAGAGUACUGGCACAAAAAACCUGUCCCGCAUAAUUACAUUAUCGGUCACAUCUCGUUCGACUUCUGUCCACAGUUACACAGCCCUUGCUUGGGAAAACGAAUGCGUUCCCAUAUAAUACAGGCCACCGUUGCUUCGAGGACGAUGCAGCAAGGUCUCCAACGAAACUGCAGGGGGUCCUUGUCAUUGCUUCUUUAUCCUAUCUUUUACGGAUUUUUGGUAGAAAGCACCGAAUAUUCUGACAAAUUGAAUAGGAAGCAUCGAACAUUUUCUGUGAUGGUUGCUUUAGUUUGGGCCAUUAUUCUCUUCAAUGGAACAUGCUGAUUCCUGUGAUGGAAAACGAUGAGAACUCGGUGGUCAAAGAAUGAUCAAUGAUCCUAGAUUCAUAUCUUUUGGUUGUUUCAAGAUUUUGAUUUAUUUAUUUAUUAUUCAUAAUUUAUUCUUUUCUUUAUUGACAUGGGAGAUGUUACACAGGCAUUGGAAUGCGCGUUACCAUAGUCGCUGGUAAACAGUCGAACACAAAGCGAAGUCACUUUGAAAUUUUACAUAACAUUUUUAACGCAAUGUGAUACAUACUCUCAAUCUCUGUUGCACUACGGGGAGAUGAAAGAAUCUUUAACCAGAUUGCUAAACUCUGAAAACUCUACUCCGUAGAAAAAAUAUUGAAACGAUGACAUCGCUGAAAAAAUGCAUAAUGAUGUAUCCCUUCUGGGAGCACUUUUAUGCAUCUUUUCAUCGGAAAACGCAUUAGUAUCUUAAUAGUACUAAGGUAAUGUACAAUCAAAAGUUAGCACGAUAGACGCGCACAUGUAUGAACGAGCGUAUUCUCUUUGUUUCGUUACUUUUGUCACAGUUUUAUAGGUAUAACAUGUGCUGUCAUGUCGUUGUAAAAUGAACACGGUUUUGUAGAAAGUCUCGCAUAUAUCAUACUUUUUUUUUAAAUAUAAAUCUGUGCUCACUACGCUAACACGGUGUCAUUCCUUCGACGGUAUAAAUAAAACUGUUAAUAUAAUCAUAAAAAAAAAUCAGAUCCAACACACGAAUGCGUCGUGCUAGACGCUCAUCGUACCUAUCGUGAAUACAAAAAACUUUCUAUGUAUAUAACAAGUGAAAUAAAGAAAAAGAAAAAUAUCAAAAUAUAUUAAAAGUAUCAAAAGACCAGUAACACGUACGAAAAUAUUGGAAGUUCACAUAAGUUACCAUGUGUUUCAGCCAACUAGAAAUUCAAAUCCUGAUAGAUAUCAUUUGGAUACACUUUGAAACUAUAUAGAAGAUGCUACGAUUAGAAAAAUACGUUGAAACGUAAUUAUAUAUGACUAUAUUUUGACUUGGACGUCGGAUGCUUAUCCUGGCAAAUAUGUAAUUUAAUAUAAAUUUAUGAUUAAUCACGUUUAAAUAUAUUACACGUCACGCAUCCUUUUAUAUACUUCAUAGUAUCUUUAUAAUAAAUUAUUGUUUUCUUUCAUUUACAAUACAUUCUUUUUUGUAGGCGCCUAUAUAUUUACGUAUAUAUUUAUAUAUAUAAAGUUCGUAAAAAUUAUGUGACGUCCAAGUCAUUUGUACAGGA